UUCUUAUUGGAUGAUGAUGACUGUCACGUGUCACGUUCUUAUUGAAUGUUAACUCCAUGAAAGAUGAAAUGCAUUGUUGUUUUCAUUUACCAAUCAAAACAUGACAUGUGACAAUCAUCAUCC
rfam:Glycine soja cultivar W05 scaffold2482_24, whole genome shotgun sequence.